UACGUAGGGGGCAAGCGUUGUCCGGAUUUAUUGGGCGUAAAGAGCGUGUAGGCGGCCAUUCAGGUCAGCUGUGAAAACUCGAGGCUCAACCUCGAGCUGUCGGUGGAAACCGUGUGGCUAGAGUCCGGAAGAGGAGAGUGGAAUUCCCGGUGUAGCGGUGAAAUGCGCAGAUAUCGGGAAGAACACCCGUGGCGAAGGCGGCUCUCUGGGACGGUACUGACGCUGAGACGCGAAAGCGUGGGGAGCGAACAGG
rnacentral:rRNA from 1 species